ACUGCACUUAACCUUGUUUCGAUGAAAUAAAAGAUUUUUGUGGUUUCUUUGUCUCUGUGCCUCUCUCUUAAUUGCGAUCGCCAUCGCCAUAGCCAUCGAUUGAGCAGAUCACCUCAACUCAACUCACUGUUCUCUGUAGCAUCAGUUAUUAGACUUGGAGGUAGAUGUCGAGGCAGAGUGUACAAAGGAGAAUCUUUAUCGUAGAAGCUGAUACCAAAAGACAAAGUUAGUGUCAGUCGAUGAGGGAAUGCUUUGAUGCUUCUCAUGUCCUCCCAAUAUCCGUCAAAGCAAUAAGCAUGAACCUGAUUGAGAAAUUUUCUUAGAGUUGAGAAUGAAGGACAGAAACGAAGCAAAAAGAUGAUUAUGAUCUUGUAUAAUCAGAAAAGUCUGACCUUCAUCCCUAAGGAUAUUGCACCAGGAAUAGAGAUUCUGGUAGGAUUUUCUAACUUGUUCUAAAUCUGAUAUGAGUUACUAAUUUUGAGACUUUCUAUCCAAAAUAAUACUGGUUUACGUAUGUGAUGAUCAGUACAACAGUUCUUUUAUUUUGUAUUUCAAUUUUUUUUCCCGUGUUUUCGGGAUCUCUUAGGCAAGAAAGAUUGGUCUUAAAAUUGAGGAAAAAUGAGGCUUUGAGUUGAAGUAUGUUAGCUUAUAUUAUAUGUGAUGACAUUUGGGUGGUUGCAGGCAGGUAUUGACUGCCCUUUGAUGACAUUUGGGUUUAUGAAUUGUUGUAGAAAGUCUAGUAAUGCCGGUUCUAUAGUCGGUUUUUUGGUUACCCUAUAAAAAUCAAUUAGUAGAAUGUAGAUGGACGAUUUUUAUUGAUUGACAAAGAAAAAUUUAGAUGAAAAAAAAAA